UACGUAGGGGGCGAGCGUUAUCCGGAUUUAUUGGGCAUAAAGAGCGUGUAGGUGGCAGCUUAAGUCAGAUGUAAAAUCCCCCGGCUCAACCGGGGUCAGCAUUUGAUACUGGGUUGCUAGAGAUUGGGAGAGGAAAGCGGAACUCACGGUGUAGCGGUGAAAUGCGUAGAUAUCGUGAGGAACACCAGUUGCGAAGGCGGCUUUCUGGACCAAAUCUGACACUCAAGCGCGAAAGCGUGGGGAGCAAACGGG
rnacentral:rRNA from 1 species